UGCGAGAAGUUAACCGCCUGGGAAGUACGGUCGCAAGACUAAAACUCAAAGGAAUUGACGGGGACCCGCACAAGCGGUGGAUGAUGUGGAUUAAUUCGAUGCAACGCGAAAAACCUUACCUACCCUUGACAUGUCAGGAAGCUCUUGUAAUGAGAGCGUGCCCGCAAGGGAGCCUGAACACAGGUGCUGCAUGGCUGUCGUCAGCUCGUGUCGUGAGAUGUUGGGUUAAGUCCCGCAACGAGCGCAACCCUCGCCCCGUGUUGCCAGCACGUUAUGGUGGGAACUCACGGGGGACCGCCGGGGUUAACUCGGAGGAAGGUGGGGAUGACGUCAGAUCAUCAUGCCCCUUACGUCCAGGGCUUCACGCAUGCUACAAUGGCCGGUACAGCGGGAUGCGACAUGGCGACAUGGAGCGGAUCCCUGAAAACCGGUCUCAGUUCGGAUCGGAGCCUGCAACCCGGCUCCGUGAAGGCGGAGUCGCUAGUAAUCGCGGAUCAGCAACGCCGCGGUGAAUGCGUUCCCGGGCCUUGUACACACCGCCCGUCAAGUCAUGAAAGUGGGCAGCACCCGAAGCCGGUGGCCUAACCCCUUGUGGGAUGGAGCCGUCUAAGGUGAGGCUCGUGAUUGGGACUAAGUCGUAACAAGGUAGCCGUACCGGAAGGUGCGGCUG
rnacentral:rRNA from 1 species